rnacentral:rRNA from 1 species
UACGUAGGGGGCAAGCGUUGUCCGGAAUCAUUGGGCGUAAAGAGCGUGUAGGUGGCCAGAUAAGUCCGCUGUGAAAUCUCGAGGCUCAACUUCGAGCUGUCGGUGGAAACUGUCUGGCUAGAGUCCGGAAGAGGAGAAUGGAAUUCCUGGUGUAGCGGUGAAAUGCGCAGAUAUCAGGAAGAACACCCGUGGCGAAGGCGGUUCUCUGGGACGGUACUGACGCUGAGACGCGAAAGCGUGGGGAGCAAACAGG